rnacentral:rRNA from 1 species
GACGAACGCUGGCGGCGUGCCUAAUACAUGCAAGUCGAACGCACUCUCGUUUAGUUUGUAGGAGUUUGCUCUUGCUUGAUAAACAUUUGAGUGAGUGGCGCACGGCUGAGUAAUACGUGGGUAACCUGCCCUAAAGUGGGGGAUCACAUUUGGAAACCGAUGCUAAUACUGCAUAUAACAUAACACCGCAUGUUGGAGAGUUGAAAGAUGGUUUCGGCUUUCUUUUUAGGAUGGUCCCGCGCCGCAGUUGUUAGUUGGUGGGGUAAUGGCUUACCAAGAGCGGGAUGCGUAGCCGACGUGAGAGGGUGAUCGGCCACACGGGGACUUAGACGCGGCCCAGAGUCCUGCGGGAGGCAGCAGUAGGGAAUCGGAGACAGUAGUGGGAAGUCUGGUAGAGCGGCGCCACGUGAGUUAAGAAGAUUUUGGGAUCGUGAAGCUCUGUUGUGGGAGAAGAAUGGAUCUGAUAGGAGAUGAUGAGGUAGUGACGGUAACGAGUCAGAAAGCAACGGCUAACUACGUG